rnacentral:tRNA from 1 species
AUAACUCAGUGGUAGAGUGCAUGCCUAGCAUGUACAAGGUCCUGGGUUCAAUCCCCAGU